CGUAGGAGGCGAGCGUUAUCCGGAUUCACUGGGCGUAAAGCGCGUGCAGGUGGCGCGGUAAGUUGGGCGUGAAAUCUCCCGGCUCAACUGGGAGAGGUCGUCCAAUACUACCGUGCUUGAGAGCAGAAGAGGAAGAUGGAAUUCCCGGUGUAGUGGUGAAAUGCGUAGAUAUCGGGAGGAACACCAGUGGCGAAGGCGAUCUUCUGGUCUGUUUCUGACACUCAGACGCGACAGCUAGGGUAGUAAACGGGAUUAGAGACCCCGGUAAUCCUAGCCGUAAACGAUGUGAACUUGGCGUUGGUGGGUUAAACUCCAUCAGUGCCGUAGCAAACGCGAUAAGUUCACCGCCUGGGGACUACGGCCGCAAGGUUA
rnacentral:rRNA from 1 species